rnacentral:rRNA from 1 species
GACGAACGCUGGCGGCGUGCCUAAUACAUGCAAGUCGAACGAGAGCAACCGGUGCUUGCACUGGUCAAUCUAGUGGCGAACGGGUGAGUAACACGUGGGUAACCUGCCCAUCAGAGGGGGAUAACAUCCGGAAACGGAUGCUAAAACCGCAUAGGUCUUCGAACCGCAUGGUUUGAAGAGGAAAAGAGGCGCAAGCUUCUGCUGAUGGAUGGACCCGCGGUGCAUUAGCUAGUUGGUGAGGUAACGGCUCACCAAGGCCGUGAUGCAUAGCCGACCUGAGAGGGUGAUCGGCCACAUUGGGACUGAGACACGGCCCAAACUCCUACGGGAGGCAGCAGUAGGGAAUCUUCCGCAAUGGACGCAAGUCUGACGGAGCAACGCCGCGUGAGUGAAGAAGGUUUUCGGAUCGUAAAACUCUGAUGUUAGAGAAGAGCAAGUGCUAGAGUAACUGUUAGCGCCUUGACGGUAUCUAACCAGAAAGCCACGGCUAACUACGUG